AGUGGGGAAUCUUGGACAAUGGGCGCAAGCCUGAUCCAGCCAUGCCGCGUGGAUGAUGAAGGCCCUAGGGUUGUAAAAUCCUUUCGUUGGGGACGAUAAUGACGGUACCCAAAGAAGAAGCUCCGGCUAACUUCGUGCCAGCAGCCGCGGUAAUACGAAGGGGGCUAGCGUUGUUCGGAUUUACUGGGCGUAAAGCGCGUGUAGGCGGGUCGUUAAGUUGGGGGUGAAAUCCCGAGGCUCAACCUCGGAACUGCCUUCAAAACUGGCGACCUGGAGCAAGAUAGAGGCGAGUGGAAUUCCGAGUGUAGAGGUGAAAUUCGUAGAUAUUCGGAGGAACACCAGUGGCGAAGGCGACUCGCUGGAUCUUUGCUGACGCUGAGACGCGAAAGCGUGGGGAGCAAA
rnacentral:rRNA from 1 species